ensembl:lncRNA LINC02018 long intergenic non-protein coding RNA 2018
GAGCGUUAGGAGGGCGAGGCCUGGGCGCCACCCGUCUGGGGCCCGAAAGGAGGGAGCUUUCCCUCUGUCCUCCAGCCUUUGGACUGUCUCCAAACAAGCCAUUCGUUCACCAAAUACUUAUUAAGCACCUACCAUGUGCCUGACAAGGGAGAUGUAACGCUGGGGAAACUGAGUUACAGAGCUUUUCUGCACUGAGUCAUCAGGAGCAAAUGCUAGAUCAGAUAGGGUCUCUCUCUCUGCCACCCAGGCCAGAGUGCAGUUGACGCAGGGCAGGGGAGCCCCGAAGUGGAGCAUAGUGUGUCCGGAACUGGUGGGUUCUUGGUCUCACUGACUUCAAGAAUGAAGCCGUGGACCCUCACGGUUCAAGCGAUUCUCCUGCCUCAGCCUCCAGAGUAGCUGGAACUACAGAUGCGCACCACCACGCCCAGAGACAGGGUUUCACCAUGUUGGCCAGGCUUGUCUUGAACUCCUGACGUCGUGAUCUGCCUGCUUUGGCCUCCCAAAGUCCUGGGAUUACAGGCAUGAGCCACCGUACCCAGCCACUCUUGAUUAACUUAAUGGAAAUAUUUACAGAGAUUCUUUCUCUUCUGGGUUCUAGCGUCUUAUCUGUAACCUCUGCAGGGGAGUCACUGAGCAGAACGAAGCGAGUUGCCUGAGAUUCUUCAAAGCCCCAGCCCUUUUGGAGGUUACAUUGUUAUUCUCAGAGCCUUUAUGAUGCAUAAUAAAGACCUAGCUUGUACCAA